rnacentral:RNase_P_RNA from 1 species
CAAGUCAGCCGGGUGAUCGCGGUUUCACCGAGUGAAACUGAGGAAAGUCCGCACUCCAUAGAGCAUGGUGCCGGCUAACAGCCGGGCGGGAAAACCCGACGGCAAGUGCAACAGAGAGGUGUAUUGCAGGUCAAGGAUUUCCUUGAUCCGUGAGGGUGAAACGGCGGUGUAAGAGACCACCGGCGGUGGCAGUAAUGUCACCGGCCAUGCAAACCCCACCGGGAGCAAGACCAAGCAAGACGCAAGCUGCCUGGCAGCUGCGGGGCUGCUCGUACCGUUAUGACGUCUGGGUCGGUUGCAAGAGGUUGUCAGUAAUGACAAUCCCAGAUAGAUGAUCACCGGUUUGUCGGUUUUAGAUAAUCGACAACAAUUUUUUGGAAAUAAAAUCACUAGAAAUGUUGCCGAUUCCUCAAGGAAAACGCACAUAUCCACAUAAUUUAUUUCGGAAAACUUUGUAUGUUUUACCUAAAACCGAUAAAUUACAGAAUGCGGCUUAUAGGCUGACUUGGCUU